UACGUAGGUGGCAAGCGUUGUCCGGAUUUAUUGGGCGUAAAGCGAGUGCAGGCGGUUCAAUAAGUCUGAUGUGAAAGCCUUCGGCUCAACCGGAGAAUUGCAUCAGAAACUGUUGAACUUGAGUGCAGAAGAGGAGAGUGGAACUCCAUGUGUAGCGGUGGAAUGCGUAGAUAUAUGGAAGAACACCAGUGGCGAAGGCGGCUUCU
rnacentral:rRNA from 1 species